AUUCAUCUUUUCCGCGAGCAGUCGAAAUAUUCAAAAUGUGCAAACUAAAAAUCAACUCAGUUCUUUUCUUGAUACUACUUCAAAUAUUUUUGGUGGCCACAGCUGCCUUCGACGAGACGUGCGAAUCCGACCGAGAAAUGGAAAAACAGUGCCGCUUGCAUAACUAUAAAACUGUGAAACCUUUGCUUGAUUAUUUUAGACAGGUUAGAAAUGAGUUAGAAGACAAAGAAAUUAAGGAAAAUAAGUUAAAUGAAUUAAAUUCGGAUCUUAUGGAAAAGUAUCAUGAAAUUGUAAGAAUUCAUGAAAAAUUCAUGAAUGAGGCAGAUCUAUUAGAUGAUUAUAAAAACAAAGUACUUAAAGGGGAAAGCGAUUUGCAAUUGAGUAAAAAUAAAGUUGAGAAAUUAGAAUCUGAGAUUAAUUCACAACAAAAUAUUAUUGUGAAAUUAAAAGGAGAAUUAGCUGAUAAAACAACUAACUUAAGAAAUUGCGAACUUCAAUUCAAAAAUCUUAAUUCUAGUUUAAUUGAAAAAGAUAAAAAAAUAAAAAUAUUUAGUGAGAAUAUUCAAAAUAAUACUGAGCAUCAGAAAACACUUGAAGUGCAAUUAGAGAAGAGUAAAUCUAAAUUAAUAAAUAAAGAUAAAGAUAUUCAGUUAUGCCAAUCUGCAAUUGAUACAUUAAAUCGGACAUCAGAAAACAUCAGAGAACAACAGAAAAAAAUUCAAUUGGAAUUAAAUGAAAGUGAAACUAAGCUAAUAGAUAAAGUGAAAGAAAAUCAGUUAUGUCAAUCUGAAAUUGAUAUAUUGAAUAAGACUUUACUCAAUACUCUUGUCCCAACAAGUUGCUCUCCUUUUGGGGAUUAUCCUGGUGUCCAUCAACUCAAUGUCUCUGGCGUAGGUUUAUUCGAUGUUUUAUGCGAUAGUCAGUUAGCUGGACCUGGAUGGAUUGUAAUACAGCAACGAGUUGGGGGAAAUGAGAGUUUCAAUAGGAAUUGGGCAACGUAUCGCAAAGGUUUCGGUUCUUAUAAGAGUGAUUUCUUCCUGGGACUAGAGAAAAUACAUCGUAUCACGAGCUUGCAGCGUCACGAACUUUACAUACAUUUGGUUGCUCUGAAUGGAAGUACCUACAAUGCUCGAUAUGACGACAUCAAAAUAUCUGACGAAGACAAUGGAUAUAAACUGAGUUUGGGUAAAUUCAGCGGAACUAUUAUUAGGGACUCGAUGAUAUACACCGAAAACAUGAAAUUCACAACAUUUGAUCGCGACAACGACGAAUCUGGUGUAGGUAAUUGCGCAGUUAUUUACAAAAGUGGCUGGUGGUACAGGAAAUGUUAUAGUUGUAAUUUAAAUGCACCUUAUGGGCCAGAUCUAAUUUGCUAUGAGAAAAAUAAAAUCGAACUCAAAGAAGCUAAGAUGCUAAUUCGCCCCAAAGAAGCGAUGAAGAAGUGAGCAACUGAAGAGAUGAAAUUAAAAUAUUUGACUCAAUUAUGUAAUCAUUUAUAUAUAAUUGGAUGAUUACAAUUUUGCGUUCUAAAUAAAAACAAGUGCGGAAGUGGGCGUGGCAAAAAUUUGAAAUAAACUUGAUCUGCGUGCAAACAUAACAAAUGCUGUCGAAAAUUAUUGCUCUAUCUCCUAUACUCUCUGAGAUCAAGGUGUUCAUACGAACAGACGAACAGACAGACAGACGGGCAUGGCUAGAUCGUCUCGUAUAUCAAGAAUAUAAAUUCUUUUUGGGGUUGGAGAUGCCUGUUACAGAUAUUUCCUGCCGGCACAAAGUUAUAAUACCCUUCUAUCCUAUAGGUAGCGGGUAUAAAAAGACACAACAUUAUUGCUAUUAAACCUUUUCCCUUUCAAUCUCGCUUUCGUGAGCUACACAGCUGCUGCUUAGUUUUAAAUUUAAUUAGUUCAAUAUCUCUUUGUGAUUUACAAGUUUUAUUAUUAUUGACUGGAUCACCGAGAACUCUUAACGAAUUAUUGAAGUUGGAGUGCAGUAGAAACUCAGUUCAGAGAAUAUCUGCAAACACAUCAAUUAAUAAUAAUACUUAACAGAAAACAUAAUAUAU